rnacentral:rRNA from 1 species
UACGAAGGGGGCUAGCGUUGCUCGGAAUCACUGAGCGUAAAGGGUGCGCAGGCGGCCGUGUGUGUCAGGUGUGAAAGCCCGGAGCUUAACUCCGGAAUUGCGCCUGAAACUACAUGGCUAGAGCAUUGGAGAGGGUAGCGGAAUUCACGGUGUAGCAGUGAAAUGCGUAGAUAUCGGAAGGAACACCAGUGGCGAAAGCGGCUUCCUGGUCCGACACCGACGUUCAGGCACGAAAGCGUGGGGAGCAAACAGG